AACUUUGUAGAGAAAUCAACCGAGAUUCCGUUUGUAGUGGUGAGCGACUGCGGAAUAGGCCUUUAGGAGCGUAUUUAAGCUAAAAAGAAAAGAACUGUAGAUUGUUCUGCAAUAUAGGGUAAAAGCCCCGUAUUUUUAGCUUAGAUUUUUUUGAACAGCUUAAAUUGAGUAGGGCGAGCUAGGUUUUAUCUUGUCUGAAUAAAGCAGACCCACCUGCUAAGCCUAAAAACCAUAUUUUACCGAUAGUGAACUAGUACCGUGAGGGAAAGGUGAAAAAGAAACCUGUUGGGUUUGUUGCAAAGAUAUUGAACCUCACAACUUACUUAGCUGUUGGAGCCGUUAUUAGUACGGUGACAGCGUACCUUUUGCAUAAUGGGUCAGCGAGUUAGUCUGUUUAGCGAGCUUAAAUUUUUUAGAAAAUGUAGGCGUAGUGAAAGCGAGCUGUAACUAGCGAUUAGUUAAACGGACUAGACCCGAAACCAAGUGAUCUAAUUAUGGGCAGGCUGAAGGUAACUUAAUCGUUACCGGAGGGCCGCACUCGUAUUUGUUGAAAAAAAUUGAGAUGAUCUGUAAUUAGGGGUGAAAGGCUAAU
rnacentral:rRNA from 1 species